rnacentral:rRNA from 1 species
CCUACGGGUGGCAGCAGUGAGGAAUAUUGGUCAAUGGCCGGAAGGCUGAACCAGCCAAGCCGCGUGAAGGACGAAGGUGCCAAGCAUUGUAAACUUCUUUUGUCAAGGGACAAAAUCAGGCUCGAGAGCCUGACCGUGGGUACUUGAAGAAAAAGCAUCGGCUAACUCCGUGCCAGCAGCCGCGGUAAUACGGAGGAUGCGAGCGUUAUCCGGAUUUAUUGGGUUUAAAGGGUGCGUAGGCGGAAUGUUAAGUCAGGUGGGAAAGCUCGGGGCUCAACCCCGGCAGAGCGUUUGAGACUGGCUGUCUUGAGAAGUCGAGAGGUAUGCGGAAUGCGUAGUGUAGCGGUGAAAUGCUUAGAUAUUGCGCAGAACUCCGAUUGCGAAGGCAGCAUACUGGCG